AUCAUACCAAUGGGUUAAAAUCAAAAGCAAUUGAUACAAAGGAGCGCCAACCCGAAACUCGUUAUCAGAGAACAGAGUACAAGAUGCGAAGGUCCUCGGUGUCUGCAGAAGGAUCUUCUAGGUACCAAACCUGGGUCCAGCCCAAGUGGAAACCCUUUACAAAAACACCGGAGAGGGCGACAGUCUGUGUGACGGUAUGACUGCUGAGUCACUGGGUGUCACGACAAUGGUGAAAGCCGUGAUCACAUGAGCACAGCCAGAAUCCCUGGCUGACCACCACUGCCUCCUUACGCCUCGCCCGGAAUGCUACGGAGCAGCAAGAAGCCUACACAAGCCAGAGUCCAUUAUGGCGGAGGAAACAUGUUGAUCCUCCAAACCUAACCUCAGGAAAGAACGGGAUUCCUACUGGGGCACAGCCCUUGCUGUUGGCUAGGAUGCAGGUUAGUCUGCAAGAUGACGUCAUAUCCAGUACCCUAAUAUACCACUUUUAAUGAAAAAAAAAUGGUGAGUCAAUUCUGUACCUGUAUAAAACAUUUGCACAGCCCUGCCACUGUCCUUUGGGGACGUCUCCUGAGAAAGAAUCCCUUUGACAUUCUGUGCCUCACUUAUGGGCACAAGGUCACGAGCCAAACACAGCCACUCUAAAAUGGAUUACAUGUAGGUGCAGUUGACAUAAAAACCAUAUUUACACAUAUACAAACCCGCUCACCUGUGAGAGAUAAGAAAAUGGGGGUUGGGAACAGAAUUUGGGGAGUAGCCAUAAGGACACUACAUCCUAUGUCUGGAGCAAUUGUCGUGUCUAGGUCUUUGUCGAGGGUCAGUGGUUAAAAACAUCCCAAAAGGAAUGCCAAGCCAAGAGGAGAAGCAUCAAAGGCCUUAGCACCUACCUGCAGAGAAGGCUCAAAGUGGUGUGAGUAGUUGUGUGCCCAAGCCACGUCUCUCUCUGCUCAGGCUGGUGGCACGUGUGCACACUUACCCCCUGCAUGGCUGUGACAUCAACAGCAUGCAGCCUGGGGAAAAGCAAGGGGUCGUACCCUCACAAUGCUUCUCUGAUCCAACCCAGGGCAGCUCACUCUCAAGGUGAAGCCCAGACAGUUCAUGCAAAACUCAACCACUGCAAACCCAAUCCAAAGCUGGGGCAUCCUCUCCUGGGAACAGUACCAAUUUGGCUUGGAAAUCUAGACCGUCAUCCAGUGAGUGGACGAAUGUCUUUGCCAGCAUGGGGAAUCCUGUCAGCUGCUGAUAUUGGAGACAUGGGAUAGGCACUGAUGGUCUUGAGAAGUCUGGCACAGCAUACAGAUGCCAUUUGCUGACAGUGAGACUCCUGCUAUGGGACAUGUAGGAGUCUUGAUUCUCUUGAAUCAGGACAAGUAUUUGCUAUCCCCUGUAUUCUAGGACUCAAUUAGCUCCCAAGUUGGGAGAAGCAGGAAGACUAUGUUGAGGCUCACGUCCUGGAGCGGACAAGCACCGUCAAUGAACUGGGCACUGACUGUUUGACACCCUUUCUCUCCAAAGUUGGCAAAGUUUAAGGAUGUCUUCUGAUUUCACACCUUUAGGGGUCCAGAAUUUGAGGGUGGUAACAUGUCUCUGCCUGGUUUGCUACAACCUAUGAUUAGCUGCUAUUAACAGAAGUCUUCCCUACAAUUUAGGCUCAAACAUCCCCAGAUGUGACAUCAUGACAUUGUCUCCUAAUGCUCUGUGAAGUGAUCACCCCAAAAGUAGAAACUCACUGCAAUAGGGGGGUGCAUGCUUGGGGGUACCCCGAAUCCCAUUUAGAUCUUCCAACCACCACUGCUUAUAUAGCAACUAAUUUUAACUCUUUUCAUCAGCCCCCACCACUCCAAAAUUAUAUGUAACAUUCUAGUUUGAUUUGGUUGGGUUACAGAUGACCAUACCUUAGAAAAAUGUCCAUCAGAUAAAUGAAAGGAGAUAGGGAUGGUGGUUUCUAAUGCAACUUUUGUCUCUCUUACAGGAGUUCACUUUUCAGUUUAAGCAGUGGUCCAGCUGUGCAUCUCUGAUCUCCCUCAGAAAACUAAUAAAGACUUACUUCCAAAGCCAGCUAAGCGCUAACCUCCUAUUAUAGCCUUUGCCUUUUGGUGAACUGGCCAGAAAGGAAGGCCCUGGCCCUGGAGACAUUAUUGAGAUUGCCUAGGUGACAUAGGAAAUUAGCAAAGAACAGCACUCUGAGGUGUGUGGACCAAUCUAAAACUUUUCUAAUACCUCUUUAACAAAAAAAAAAAAAAAAAACGGCAACUAUAUCUAUUACCUAGCAAGUACAAGCCUUGCUGUGUGCAUUUCAUAAACUGAAGGCCAUGUUGCGGUGGUGGUGAGUUUUCCAGAGUUUUCUAUCAUUUCUUUGCAGGAAACGUCCCUGUUCAGCAUCCUGCAGCAGGUGUCCCAGGGUACAAAGCUGCUCACUCUCCGGCAGGUAGUUAGCCCCACGGGUGGGGUCCUUGUGUGUGCACUGGACACCAACAAAGAGGGCUCUGGCUCCUUCCUUCUUACUCUGUAUGCCAUGCCCUUGGCUCAGCAGCACCGACGGCUGGCUUGCAAGCUCUGAUUCCCAAGCUUGAUCCCGCCGCUGUUUCCAUUUUCCUGAGGGCCCAAGGGUGGGAUCUGGCGGC
rnacentral:lncRNA from 1 species